CCUACGGGUGGCAGCAGUAGGGAAUAUUGCUCAAUGGGGGAAACCCUGAAGCAGCCACGCCGCGUGGAGGAUGAAGGUUUUCGGAUUGUAAACUCCUUUUGUUCGAGAAGCAAAUGACGGUAUCUAACGAAUAAGCACCGGCUAAGUCCGUGCCAGCAGCCGCGGUAAUGCGGCGGGUGCAGGUGUUACUCGGAAUCACUGAGCGCAAAGAGCGCGUGGGCGGGAUAGUAAGUCAGAUGUGAAAUCCUAUGGCUUAACCAUAGACGUGCAUUUGAAACUGUAAUUCUAGAGUAUGGGAGAGGUAGGUGGAAUUCUCGGUGUAGGGGUAAAAUCCGUAGAGAUCAAGAAGAAUACUCAUUGCGAAGGCGACCUGCUAGAACAUCACUGACGCUGAUGCGCGAAAGCGUGGGGAGCAAACAGGAUUAGAUACCCGAGUAGUC
rnacentral:rRNA from 1 species